GGUUUGAUUCUGGCUCAGAUUGGAACGCUGGCGGAUGCUUUACACGAUGCAAGUCGAACGGCAGCACGACUUCGGUCUGUGGCGAGUGGCGAACGGGUGAGUAAUGUAUCGGAACGUGCCUAGUAGCGGGGGAUAACUACGCGAAAGCGUAGCUACUACCGCAUACUGCCCUUCGGGGGGAAAGCGGGGACCUUUUCGGGCCUCGCACUAUUAGAGUGGCCGAUAUCGGAUUAGCUAGUUGGUGGGGUAACGGCUCAACAAGGCGACGAUCCGCAGCUGGUUUGAGAGGACGACCAGCCACACUGGGACCGGAGACACGGCCCAGACUCCUACGGAGGCAGCAGUGGGGAAUUUGGACAAUGGGGAAACCCCUGAUCCAGCCAUCCCGCGUGUGCGAUGAAGCCUUCGGGUUGUAAAGCACUUUUGGCAGGAAAGAAACGGCACGGAUAAUACCCCGUGCAACUGACGGUACCUGCAGAAUAAGCACCGGCUAACUACGUGCCAGCAGCCGCGGUAAUACGCAGGUGCAAGCGUUAAUCGGAACACAUGCAAGCGCGCAGGCGGUUCGGAAAGAAAGAUGUAAACUUGUGAGCUUAACUUUGGAACUGCAUUUUAACUACCGAGCUGAGUGUGUCAGAGGGAGGUGGGUAAUUCCGUGUAGCAGUGAAAUGCGUAGAUAUGCGGAGGAACACCGAUGGUGAAGGCAGCCUCCUGGGAUAACACUGACGCUCAUGCACGAAAGCGUGGGGAGCAAACAGGAUUAGAUACCCUGGUAGUCCACGCCCUAAACGAUGUCAACUAGCUGUUGGGGCCUUCGGGCCUGGUAGCAAGAAAGGAUCACGUGAAGUUGACCGCCUGGGGAGUACGGUCGCAAGAUUAAAACUCAAAGGAAUUGACGGGAUCCGCACAAGCGGUGGAUGAUGUGGAUUAAUUCGAUGCAACGCGAAACCUUACCUACCCUUGACAUGUCUGGAAUCCCGAAGAGAUUUGGGUGUCGCAAGAGAACCGGAACACAGGCGUUUUGACGGCUGUCGUCACCGUGUCGUGAGAUGCUGCAGUUAAGUCCCGCAACGAGCGCAACCCUUGUCAUUAGUUGCUGUCAAAGGGCACUCAUCGAGACUGCCGGUGACAAACCGGAGGAAGGUGGGGAUGACGCGUCAAGUCCUCAUGGCCCUUAUGGGUAGGGCUUCACACGUCAUACAAUGGUCGGGACAGAGUGGUCGCCAACUCCGCGAGGGGGAGCCAAUCCCCAGAAACCCGAUCGUAAAUGUCCGGAUCGCAGUCUGCAACUCGACUGCGUGAAGUCGGAAUCGCUAGUAAUCGCGGAUCAGCAUGUCGCGGUGAAUACGUUCCCGGGUCUUGCACACACCGCCCGUCACACCAGCGGAGUGGGUUUUACCAGGAGCAGUUAGCCUAACCGUAAGGAGGGCGAUUACCACGGUAGGAUUCAUGAUUUGGGGUGAAGUCGUAAUACCAAGGUAA
rnacentral:rRNA from 1 species